AUAUAAGUAGUUAUGUUGUCUUUAAUUUUGUAUAAUUGCUUGUAUCUUUCAGAUAUCCGUAAGCAUUUCAAGCAAUUUACAAAGUGAAGCAAAUGCUGAAAAAUACAGGGAUUUACGCCCUCUUCUACAUCUUCUUAAAAAACUAUUCACAAGAGACAUUUUUUGACAUUUCUUGGUCACACGGACUUCCGAUGGAUAAGAUUUUACAUUAACAUAUACAUUAGUUCCAGCCAAAAUUAACUCCUUGUCCAAUAUAUCUGUACUCGACUACUUGGAGAAUGCUUUGCUCUUGACGGAUUACACAUACUUGAGUAAUGAUAGAAGUUUCUUAGUGGACCAUUGAAGGCAGCGUGAAAGUUGUGGUGCAGGAAAACUUUGUUUCAACCAAUAAACAACGGAUGAUUCAAGAUGAAGCUGAAUAGCACUUCUGACAUUGAUCAAACCGAUUCAUUUAAGCCAAGUUUACGCUUUAAGGCUCAGGAAACUCUGACAAAAGAAGAUGUCAGCAAUUCAAGCACAUGGGUUUGCUGGUGUUGCAAGCGCUGCUAUGGGUGAUGUAGGUUCUGUAGCAGUUGUAUCAUUUUUGGAUAUUUUUUUAUUAGUAAUUUAUUUUUUUAGUAUUUAAAUUGAAAACUUAUGUACAGAUUUUGGUUUAUUAUUGUUAAUAUUGUUUGCUUUCAGUU